AGCGAACGUUUGCGGCGGGCCUAACACAUGCAAGUCGAACGCACUAGCAAUAGUGAGUGGCGCACGGGUGCGUAACACGUGGGUAAUCAACCCUUCAGCCUGGGAUAACGACUCGAAAGGGUCGCUAAUACCGGAUACGGCGCGAGAGGCUUCGGCUUCUCACGAGAAAGCCACGCAAGGGGCACUGAAGGACGAGCCUGCGGCCCAUCAGCUAGUUGGUGAGGUAAGAGCUCACCAAGGCUAAGACGGGUAGCUGGUCUGAGAGGAUGAUCAGCCACACUGGAACUGAGACACGGUCCAGACUCCUACGGGAGGCAGCAGUGGGGAAUAUUGCGCAAUGGGCGAAAGCCUGACGCAGCCACGCCGCGUGAGCGAUGAAGGCCUCGGGUCGUAAAGACUCUGUGGGAGAGACGAAGAAAGACCUGUGAAGAGCAGGCCUUGACGGUAGUCUCCUUAGCAAGCACCGGCUAACU
rnacentral:rRNA from 1 species